rnacentral:misc_RNA from 1 species
CGGCAGCGAGCGCCAUCGGCACGGUUGUAUCGCCGCUGUAGGCGCCGAUAUCGAUGACGAAGUCGCCGGGCGCAACAAAACGGCGAACCGCAUCGACCGCGGAUUGAGUGAUCGGAUUUGGCGUAUCAAAGGGGUGCAGCCAUUGCGCGCACUCGAUUAACCCUUCGCGCUCGAGGCGAAAUUGUCGCACGUCGUGCCCAUACUCUGCGAAGGGGAUUUUCUUUCGUCGUCGAAAUAGGCGGGCGAUCGACAUCGCUGUGGACUGAGCCGGGUUGCGAACAUGAACUGCGGAGCUUGCAUGCGAAAGAAGUUGC